UCACCUACGCACUGAGUUAAAGAUUUUGAUGAACUUUUCAUCCAACAGCUUCCCUCAGCACCUCGGGUGGAUUCUCUCACUUGACGUCGGUGAAGUGUACGUCGCACGAUGAAGAGUUCAAGAGUUGGUUGAAGUAUCUGCUUGGCCCGCGUCGCUCACGGGCGGACCGCAACGAUUUCGCGGCUUUUUCUGUUCCCCCCCCCCCCAACUUGGCCACCAGAUGGCUUGGAAACGAACGCUUGAACACCUUUAGGAGAUGAUAUUUCGUUGCUGUUGACACGGGCAAGUGACACCCCAGCUGGAACUACGGGUAAGGUUCUUCGCUCACUCCCCGGUGAAGUUGUGUGAAGCGCUAAUCAAUGAAUGUGGGAAUGCCGGAUGCGUUGGAGUGCGUUUGUUAUUUUCUCGAGAAUUCCUGUCAAGAACUGGUUUAGUUUAUAAAUUUCGUCCCACUCGCCGGGCUCCAAAGUGUUCGAAAAACAACGAAAGAAGCAUCUUACUGACUUCAUAAAAAUCGGUAGUACAUACACACGGAGAGACAGACAGAGGAGACUGUCCUGCCAUUUCGGGGCAUUAGUUCGCGGGCCCCACGUAGGCCGUUUGAAGUUUGUAAGAUCUUACGAUUUCUCCAUUCAUAGUGAGCUUCCCUUGGGAGGGAAUAGAAGAGGUACAGCACGGGUAUGUGUAUGGCGGGAAUGGGGUUGAAGAGGUCGUUUAUGACUUCAAAUGAAUUUUGCUUCAAUGCGCGCGUGCCGCCGGAACGGCCGGUUUUCCCUUUCGCGGACGCAAUGUUUAUCAUAAAUCGAGACGAAUGAGCUCCACACUGGAGGAAGCAGCCGAUGAUGAUGAUGAUGAUGAAGGCGAUACUGAUGAUGGGUGAGGAAAACGAGAUGCUUAAUGCAACUGGAAACAGUCGAGAAUGUUUGUCUUGCA